rnacentral:lncRNA from 1 species
AGCAUUCUAACACUCCUAAGUGUACAUGCAACCCUAAAUACCUUGGAUCUAUGUUUUCUCUAUUAUACAUGCAAAUAAGAACUUCCAAGGUAUUAUCCUAAUCUAGCAUACAAAACAAUAACUAUAGCAAGAUAGAAUACAUACCUCUUUGGUGUAGAAAGUCUUCAUGAAGCUUGAGUGCCAAGUGCCCCAAGUGUGACACCUCAAAUGGUUCACACAACACCAAAUACACUUGGAAUGACUUGAGAGAAUUCUACACUUCAUGAAAAUCGGCUAGCCCUCUCUAGAAUAAUACUAGUGCCGAUUUUGCCAAGAAUAAUAUCUUUAUAUAGUGUUACAAUUAGGGCAAACCCUAAUUGUCAUGACUUUCCAUUUCCUUGGAUCCAUGGGUUCAAAUACACCAUGGAGCAUCCAUGGACCAUCCUAUGGGUUUUAGCCCAACUUGAUUAUCCAUGGAGCAUUAGCCCACUAUACAAGUAUGGAUGAUUUACACAAUCAACCCAUAUAUUUAAUUAGUCUUCUUUUGAUCACUUAAUUAAUCCUAGAUUAAUUCUUGAUCAAUACUAAUUAAAUAAUCUUAUUAUUCUUAUUAUUAAUAUACUAGAACUUAUAAUAUAUUAAUAACCAUAAGUGUCUUAUUUCUCUCAUUAUAGUCUAUCCAAGUGCAUGAUGGUAUGCAACCCAAAUGGACCAUGCCGGGUCGGGUCAAGUCUUACCAAUUAUAGUUAUGGACUUAGACAUUAAUCCAACAGUCUCCCACUUGGAUAAGUCUAAAACUAUUAUUGCGUAUGACUUCAGGAACCAACUGGCAAUCGUAGCUCUCAAAAGCUUCUGUCGAACUCUGACCUUGUAGAUGAACUCUGACCUUUGUCAAUGACUUGUCCAUUAGAUAAGGGAUCAUAUAUUCCUCCAUUCUAGAUAUCAUAUGGACUGAGACAUGGAUUAUAAUCAUUCUCUCUGUCCAUUUGUUGUUUCCCGAUUUCCGAUUUAUGACGACUGACUAAUUGAACAAAUCAAAUCAGUCCUGGCCCGGCCGAGCACUUCCAUUUGUCAUCAUCAAAUCAUCGAGGGGCCCACAGAUAUCGCUUUUAUCCCGAAGGUAAAAGGAAUGGAUAAACUUCGACUCAUAUGGCUUGUUCUACUACUUGUUGAAUCAUACACAAAGGCACGUUUUAUAGCACCGAGUUACCAAAUGCGUUUUCGUGCAAUCAAUGUACUAUCAACUCAUAGUAACAACUCAUAUCUCUAGGUUUGAAGAAUAUAAGAUAUUAUCGUCUCAUGAUCACUCGUGAUAAAAUCCAUGAAGUGAUUCCAAUGAGCGCGGGUUGAAUCCAAUACUCAGAACUUAUGAGCACUCAUGAGUGUUGUAGCCCUUUGUCCAACACCUUAGACCUCUACAAGCCAACCCAUGACAGUCUUAAUUCAUAUCUACUUCCAACAUAUGACCGACUGUGGAUGGUUUGAAUAACUUAGUCAUUCCGGAAGAAUAACCCAGUUUAUUCGGGAAGUCAAAACAUGCAAAAUGAAACACAAUAAUAAUUGAAUCCAAUAUGGUAUCAACCCUUUGAACAUAAAUAAAACACCUUUUAUUUAUCACCAUAUGAUUACACAUUAUUCAUUGUAUACUGUUUCAGCUAUCAACUUUAUUCUUGAAUUUAAAACAAUAGUUGUCCCAUGCUCCAAGCAUGUACACUAUGUUUUCUUAAACACUAGUCAUGCCACACACCAAGUAUGCAUACUAUGUUUGUCUAUGAUCUUUACUUUGUGAACUAGAUCAAUUGAACAUAACUUCAAUGAUUCUCUUUUCACACUCCCAAAUCCUUACUGCAAAUGCAAGAAUUCCAAAUUCAUGCCAUUUACUGAAAUCUGUUAGAUUCUAAACUUAUAUGCAUUGAUCCUCUUGUAAUGAUUAUGCACAAAGUCACAAAGACUUGGCAACAAUCAUUACAGAGUAUUCCAAAGGAGAUCAACUCCUUGGAAAUAUCCUUCUUGCAUUAAGUUUCCUUAAUCUUACACAGAUUGAAAAUUCUAACUUUGAAACAUUUCCAGAUUCCAUUUUGACUAUCACUUCUGAACAAGAGUUGCCUCCUUACAGAUUAUGUCAAUAUGGUCCUUCCAGAAUUAUCACUAUACUUCCAAUUGUCCUUGAGUAACCAAUCUUUGGUAAACCUUAGAUUGUCCUCGACAAUUGUUUAAUCCUUUUAGUCAUAUCCAGUUCUAAACCUUUUCCCUUCUUAAUGCCCCAGGCAUUUGGAAAAUUUUAGAACGGAUGAAUAUAGCACAUGUAAUCGAUCCUAUAUCCGAAGCAUAUGGGACACGAUUCAUGAUGUCUUACAUAAAGACUAAACCAGUCUUUUGCUAUAAUAUUUCCAUUUCAAUUUGCCAAGUUCUCAUAAUUCAGAUUAUGAAAAGGGAUGCCGUAAUCAUAAUCGAAUUUUAGAACGCAAAUAAUGGACCCAUAUACAGAAUUUCCUUAUGUUGAGCCAUUCCAACAUGAAAUUCAUAUAUAUCCUUGACUAAAUGAUUAAAACCUCACGAUCUAAGCUUAUAGAUUUGAGAUGAAGCAUAAUUUCCUCUCCCUUAAUUAUAGCAAAACAACUUUUUCCCAAUUGAAACUUUUGUUUUCUAUAAUUAACAUUGCUAACUUGCAAUACUUAUCAUAAUUAUCAUGCUCCCACUAACAUGAUGAUUAUUAGCAUAACACUUAUGCUCCCACUAGCUUUGACAUGUACUCAGAAAUCAGCUGGACAGUCUGAAAUUUAGAUUCAUACACCCUUUCCGUAGAUAGCUCACCUGUGUGUCUAAGCAAUUUCAAGAACCAUGAAAAGGGAUACCGUAAUCAUGGUCUCAAUUGCUUAGGCAUUUGCCAUUUCUCACAAGUCCAUGUUAGUGUGCCGGUUAACCACACGCGCUCCACUAACGACUUUUGAAAAUGCAAAUAACACAAUUGAUAUCUUCGUAAAAUCUACUUAGUGAAAGCGUUUCCUCACCAUCAUUUUCAUGAAUCGGAGAGAAACCUUAUGACACUUAGAUUUAUAUGGUGUAUGAGUUCCUACCCAUAUGAAUUUGUCAAACCAUAAUCACAAGACAAAGAUAAUGACAAAUCCAAAACCAUAUGGAUUGAACUCAAUCUUAACUUCUUGCCACCUGGCAGCUCAAGGGCCUGCCAUUGCUUCCAAGUUGUUAUGCAACAAACUGAGAACUCUAAGAACUCAUAUGCAAAGCCAACUUUAACUGGAAUGGGCACAGAUAUGUCAACACGAUAGGUUAUAAACCUCAAGUCGUGUGCUAGUGAAGAACUUUAGGUUUUAUUCUUGAUUAUUUCUUGAGACUUUCAAGACCUUUAAGACUCCCACUGUCCUCUUGACAUAUAAGACUCCCUUGUCAAACAUCCAAGAGAUAGUGCGGAUUCUAAUCAAGAAAAACACUUUACCCAAUUGGCCUAAGUUGGUCUUUGUUUUAUCCAAAACAUCACAACUUACCAAUUUCAAAUGUACAAGAGUAGAAAACUUUUACUCUUACAUUUGACAAGUGUUUUAAACCUUCUUUAAGACAUGUCACUCAAAUGACAAUCUUGGAGUAUGACUCUAAGACUUGUAUUGGAACGAAGUAUGACUCAUCUUCUUGAUUUAACCAUUUCAACAAUUCAAGUUCCUCUUCUUAGUCAUAAGAAUGCACUAAGAUUUCCUUAGAGAACUAAUUUUGAUAUGGUUUCUUAAUCAUUAAGAUGAUCACAAAACUGAUACUAAAGUACUCUCCCAUCUUUUCAGAUUUGAGAAACUUUUAUCCUUCUGCCUUAUUUGAUUCUUCUUAUCGAUCUUUAGUGGUGGACUUAAUCAGUGCACAAGAAUGUGUACUCGAUCCCUUAGUCCUUUACUUGACUCACACAUCCAUGUGAACAAGUAAUUAGUCUUAAUUUUCCAAAACUUGAAAGUUCUCAUUCAUCAUGCUAUACAACUUGCAUGAUUCCAAGUUCCGGUCCAAUUGAAACUUGGGUGAUGAGAAUCUUUCCUUAUUUGGUAAAUCUAGACAUUACCACAAAUGAAAGAAUCAAUUUCAUAUUUCCACUCUUGCUCUUAAUGGAAUCAUAUAAGCAACAAUUUUUCCUCAAAAGCCAUUGUAAGGAUAUUUUAAAAUAAAUAAAAUCAAAAAAAUUUUCUUUUAUUUUAAAACUUUGCGGAAAAACUUAUCCUUACAAUCCAUAUGAAAACUUGUUGUUAUCUAUUCCUAAGCAAUAUCUCAUAACUCCUAAGAAGUAGCUCAAGAAUCCGAUCUUCAAACUAUGCGAUAGAAAUCCAUCUACGCCAUCAGAUUCAGCAUAUUCUUUCUUUAAGUUUCUUCACUUUUCUUUGAUUCUUAAAACAUCACCAUGUGACCCAGUCACAUCAUGUAUCAAGAAUCUCAGAAUAGAAACUUAACAGAGUUAGAUAGUGGACUUUACCUGAAGUAGAGUCAAACUUAUUGACUUUAACAUCCUUAGGUAAAUUUGGCAGCUUCGCAACCAAUGCCCCUUCCUUUGGCAAUAUAAACAUAUGGACCCUUUGAUAAUGGUACACGGGACUAUCACAGACUUAGCUUUUCUCUUUACCAUUUGGUCAACCGAGUUGACUAUGGCCGAUCCCUUUCCAUUGGGAAGAGAAUGCUUUACUGGAUAUCCAAUGUCAUCAUUGUCAAUGUCCAUAAAGUUUUAGGAAGUUGAUCUUAGCAAAUAGAUAAGAUCAUUAAGGGUCUUGUCAUAGUCUGUUUCAUAGGUGUCCCAAAGGAACUCACUAUGUGACUUAGAAAGUGAUUGAACCACCAACUUUCUCAAGACUUUGACACCCAACUCUCCCGGCUUGUCAAUAUGUGACUACAUCUCCAAGAUGUGACCACACCUAGACCUUGCCUUGCCAAUAGGGCCUGAGUGACCUUAAACUUUUCAAGAACUUGUGGGUUAGGGAGAAUAAUUUGAAGAGGUGAAGAAGUAUGAUAUCCAUGGGACAUCAUCUUCAUUAGGAAACCUUGUUUCAAGAGAUUUGGGAAGAUCAUAGGUGUCUAAACCAGACAUCUUUUGGGAGAUAUUCAAGAUAGUUGAUUUAAAGUCCUUAAUAUGACACCCAAUAUGAAAUAUUAAGGCUAGGACCCAACAAACUAUUUUAUAACUUAGAAGAGGUAUGCCGUAAUCCAAGCUAUAAAAUAUUUGAAGGUAGGUGAAUGACGAUUCACCAAUUUCCACCAAGAUAAACGAAAUGUAUUAUUAGGUUUUAAUUGGUUUUGAAACUCCUAGAUCUUUGAGAUUCAUUGAACUUUUCAAAGGCAUGUUUCAAUCUCGAGUGUGCCCUUCAGGUUUUGUGACUGGGAUGCCGAGGAUCACAAAACAAGGUGUGAAGUAACCAUGCAAAUCACUUGGUACCCUUAAUAAAUUACCCCUCAAUCGAUGUGCCGGUUAACCACACACGCUCCAUCGAUACUAUGAUAAAUAUUAAGUCACCCUUUACCUACCUUGUUAAGUCCAAGUUAGUGUGCCGGUUAACCACACACGCUCCACUAACGACUUAGACAAAGUGUAAAGUGUAAUUUCAUGGAUUAGCACCUUAUUCACAUUUUUCCUAAGUAACUAAGAUUGGGUAUUAUUAAGAGUUUAGUUACUUAGUAUUAUCAUUAAUACUUUUAAUGAAGGGAGAAUUCUAGUCCUGUCAAACCCGUUCGGCUAACGACCCUCCACCAGUCAAGCAAGCGGUGGGUGAGAGUGGACACCCAUUAAGUUGCCAUUUUAUAGGCAACAACCUUAUACCCACCUUAUAGACCGGCUUCGUGAAUGAGGCGUACUAGCGGUAAGACUGACUUUACUCUUAUACAUAUAUAUAUUAUUAACUUAUAAUAUUAUAAAGUAUAAGGGUUGAAUUUUAACUUUUAAAAUUCUAAGGGCUAACUUGGAAUUAAAGUAUUCAUACUUGAAAACUUUUCAAAUUCCAAAACUUGAGGGCAAGUUUUGAAACUAUUCAAAACUAAUUAAUUCCAUAACUUAUGUGUUUAAAGUAGUUUUAAUCCAAAAACUCUUCAAGUUCCAUAACUUGAGGACAAGUUAUGGAAGACUUUAAACUAAUAAAAGAACUAACUUUUUCUUUAUUUUAUAACUUAUGGAUUUAAUUAUGGUUACAUAUUUUUCUUUAAUGAAGUGACUCUUGAACUUCCAUAACUUGAGGACAAGUUAUGGAGUCAAAAAAAAUUAUUCAAUGACACAAGACUCUUCAUUUUGUAACCAUUGCCAACUAUUAUGAGUUUUAUGAGUCUUUAAUGUGACUCUUCAUGUAACUUGAGGACAAGUUACACAAACACAUUUUAUACUCAACUCUUAGAUUAAAAUGGAUUGAAAACAACUAUUUCACUCAACAUUUCUAUUAAUCUAAGCAACUCAUAAGAACAAGAUAAUUCAAAUCAAACUUUUUCAUGUAAUUAGUCUAAACCUUAAACUAAUACAAAACAUGAAUCUAUUGACAAUUAUCUUUGAAAAUGGAUUAGCAUGAACAUUACCACAUCAAAAACAAGUUUAUAAGUUCAAAAACAACUUAGGGUAAUGUUCCUAGUCCAUUUCUAGCCAAAAAACUCGAAAAUAUGCUGUCUGGGGGUCCAACUCGUCGAGUGCAUGAACAAACUCGGCGAGUUGGAUCGAAUUCAUCACUUUUUAGGCAUGGACUCGUCGAGUCUCCUGAUGGACUCGCCGAGUCUGAUGGCCAGACAGCACCAGAUUCGUUUUUUCAGCUUCUAUUGCAGGUAUAACAAGAAAACAAGCCUAGGCUCUGAUACCACUGUUGGGUUUUGAGCAUUCUAACACUCCUAAGUGUACAUGCAACCCUAAAUACCUUGGAUCUAUGUUUUCUCUAUUAUACAUGCAAAUAAGAACUUCCAAGGUAUUAUCCUAAUCUAGCAUACAAAACAAUGAAUAUAACAAGAUAGAAUACAUACCUCUUUGAUGUAGAAAGUCUUCAUGAAGCUUGAGUGCCAAGUGCCCCAAGUGUGACACCUCAAAUGGUUCACACAACACCAAAUACACUUGGAAUAACUUAGAGAGAAUUCUACACUUCAUGAAAUCGGCUAGCCCUCUCUAGAAUAAUACUAGUGCCGAUUUUGCCAAGAAUAAUAUCUUUAUAUAGUGUUACAAUUAGGGCAAACCCUAAUUGUCAUGACUUUCCAUUUCCUUGGAUCCAUGGGUUCAAAUACACCAUGGAGCAUCAUAUGGGUUUUGGCCCAACUAGAUAAUCCAUGGAGCAUUAGCCCACUAUACAAGUAUGGAUGAUUUACACAAUCAACCCAUAUAUUUAAUUAGUCUUCUUUUGAUCACUUAAUUAAUCCUAGAUUAAUUCUCGAUCAAUACUAAUUAAAUAAUCUUAUUAUUCUUAUUAUUAAUAUACUAGAACUUAUAAUAUAUUAAUAAUCAUAAGUGUCUUAUUUCUCUCUUUUAGUCUAUCCAAGUGCAUGAUGCCAUGCAACCCAAAUGGACCAUGCCGGGUCGGGUCAAGUCUUACCAAUUAUAAUUAUGGACUUAGACAUUAAUCCAACAGUUCUUUUGCUCAAAACCCAUCAUAACC